AGAGGACACAGUCAUCUGGCAAAUGGGUUUGAUCCAAAGCUGUGUCUCAGUUUUGUUGGAACUGUCUCCAACAAUUUAGGAGGCUGCACCACCAGACCAAGGGAGCCUGGAUCCAAUGCUACGUGCAGUGUGAAGCAAGAUGUCCAUCAGAACAGGAAUGUCAUCAAUGAUCUUCUGCAUUUCCGAGGCAUUUAGUCAUUGCCGGCUUGACCAACAUUUUGCUGCCCAUCCCAAAUUACAUGUGAGGAGAUGAAGAGGAGGUGUUUGUUCAUAACUACUUCUCAUGCCUACUUCAUUCAAAGUUGCUGAUCAUAGCUUUGUAACCAUUAAACUCGCCUUUUCAUUUUA